AGUGAACGCUGGCGGUAUGCCUAACACAUGCAAGUCGAACGGCAGCACAGUAAGAGCUUGCUCUUACGGGUGGCGAGUGUCGGACGGGGGAGGAAUACACCGGAAUCUACUUUUUCGUGGGGGAUACCGUAGGGAAACUUACUCUAAUACCGCAUACGACCUACGGGUGAAAGCAGGGGAACUUCUGACCUUGGGCGAUAAGAGCAGCCGAUGUCGGAUUAGCUAGUUGGCGGGGUAAAUGCGGACCAAGGCGACGAUCCGUAGCUGGUCUGAGAGGAUGAUCAGCCACACUGGAACUGAGACACGGUCCAGACUCCUACGGGAGGCAGCAGUGGGGAAUAUGGGACAAUGGGCGCAAGCCUGAUCCAGCCAUACCGCGUGGGUGAAGAAGGCCUUCGGGUUGUAAAGCCCUUUUGUUGGGAAAGAAAAGCAGCAGGUUAAUACCCCGCUGUUCUGACGGUACCCAAAGAAUAAGCACCGGCUAACUUCGUG
rnacentral:rRNA from 1 species